AACCCUAGAUAGACCCAAAAGAAUUGGACAAUUGGUUGAUGGGUUUACGAAGGUAUGAAUCCGAAUAGCUUGGAGAAAAAGACAAAAAAAAAAAAAAAGAAAAUCCGAAUAGCGAUCCAAGAAUGGGCUGCGCUAUUCGGAAGGCAAAGAGCCCAAUGGUAAAAUAGCGCCGCUUCUGCCAUUUUCAGACAGACGCCAAUCCCAUGCUUUCCUUUUCUUCAUUUCCCCUCAGCGGUUCUCUCGAGCUCACGCUUGCUUCUCUUCCUAUCUUCUGAACCCCUUGAUUUUUAUCAAUUAGGGUUCUUAAUUCUCACUCAUACUUGCAUGGAUAGUCACAGGGGAGACGGCUACGGCGGCACCUCCAACAAUCCCACCGCCGCUUCUGACAACCAACACUCCUACCAUAAUCGUCGAUCCUCUCGCUUCUCAGAUGGUCCUUCCCGAUUCUCUGAUGCUCCCGUCAACCGCUAUUCCACAAAUGGUACCAAUACUUCCAGCAAUUACGACCGCCGCAGCCCCACCAAUUAUAGUGGUGGCGGCGGCGGUCACCGCCUUUUCGACAGUCUUCUCCGUCAUCCUCCUUCUGCUGGUGGUGCUGAAGGAAUGGGAGGGUUUGAACCACUUGGAGGCGGUGGUGCUGCCGGUACCGGUGGAAUUCGCGCAAUGGGCGGAGGUGGAGGUUUUGGGUCUAAUUACCAGGCACCGCCACCGCUGAUUCCGCAUCAGCCUCUGUCGGGACAGAAACGAGGGUAUCCAUUCAUUGGCCGCGGGAGUUCUCCUGAUCGCUUUGAUGGUGGUAGCUUUGCCAAACUCUUUGUGGGAUCUGUUCCACGGACUGCUACUGAAGGAGAUAUUCGCCCCUUAUUUGAACAACAUGGAAAUGUGAUAGAGGUUUCCUUGAUCAAAGAUAAGAGAACAGGACAGCAACAAGGUUGUUGUUUUGUUAAAUAUGCAACUUCUGAAGAAGCUGAUAGGGCUAUGAGAGCUCUGCACAAUCAACAUACUCUUCCUGGAGGAGUAGGUCCUAUCCAAGUAAGAUAUGCUGACGGGGAGAGAGAGCGCCUUGGUGCAGUUGAGUACAAAUUGUUUGUUGGGUCACUGAACAAACAAGCUACAGAAAGGGAAGUUGAGGAAAUUUUUUCACCAUAUGGUCAUGUUGAAGAUGUCUAUCUCAUGCGUGAUGAAAUGAAGCAAAGCCGUGGAUGUGGAUUUGUUAAAUACUCUGAUAAAGAAAUGGCAAUGCGAGCUAUAAAUGCUCUCAAUGGGAUUUACAGAAUGAAAGGUUGUGAUCAACCGUUGAUUGUUCGGUUUGCUGAUCCAAAGAGGCCCAGACCUGGAGAUUCAAGGGGUGGUCCUGCACUCGGAGGUCCAGGUUUUGGCACUCGAUUUCAAGUUCCAAGGCCCAGAUCGGCAUCCAAUUUUAGUGAUCCUAUGGGUGAUGGAGGUCCACCUAAUGCUUGUCUUCCAAUAAGUCGACAAAAUAUGGGGCCUUCCUCCAAUGCUGGUGUCUCUGGUUUUGGGAGUCAGUUGCUUCCUAGGUCUGGUGAUCUAGCAACGCCUUUAAAUCAGGGUGGCCCUCCUGAUGGUGCUCCUUCUGGACAUGUUUUUUCUGCUGCACAACUGAAUUUUAACCAGCAUUUACAUCAAUUCCCACCAGUUGGCCAGCAUACCUCUCCACCACAGAAACCCCUCCAAUCUCCCCAGCAUUUGCCUUCUCUUCAACUAAACCUUCAAGUUACAUCUUGUUCACAAGCACAAACUUCCCAUGUUGGUCAGUUACAUUCCCCACUUACUGCUAGUCAAACUCCUUUCAGUCAAGCACCACCGUCACAGCAGUAUGUUGGUAUGAGCGGACAGUUAUCUGCUUCUCAAUCUCAGCUGCAGCAGGGUGCCUCAACGGGUAUACCAUUACCAGCACCUUUGAAUAUCAACUUACACUCCCAUUCUGUGUCUGCUGCGACUAAUCAGCAGCAGAUGCCUGCUCCUGUCCAGCAGCAACCGCUUCAGCCUCUUCAACAGUCCCCUUCUCAGUUAGCUCAGAUGUUAUCACAACAGACACAAACUCUGCAAGCAACCUUUCAGUCAUCUCAGCAGGCCUUUUCACAGCUGCAACAACAAUUGCAAAUGAUGCAACCAUCAAAUCAAGGUCUAACAUUGCAGCAGAGUUCUCAGCCUACUAAACAGGAGGGGUCGGGGAUUCCACCAAAAGCAUUUGUUAGUAUGCCAUUUACUAGAGUGGCUGCAGAUGUGCCUCCAUCUACUUCUUCUGCUCCUGUUGCUCCUGUAAUAUCUCAGCCAGUGGCUCCUGCAAAAUGUAAUUGGACAGAGCAUACCUCUGUUGAGGGAUUCAAGUACUAUUACAACAGUGUGACUCGGGAGAGCCGGUGGGAGAAACCAGAGGAACUGACAUUAUUUGAACAACCACCACAGCAGCAGCAACUACAACAAAGAACUCCACUUCAACAACCUCAAGCCCAAUCAAACCCUCAAGUUCUGCCCAUUCAGCAAGUUCCACAAGUACCACGACUUCAAGCUUCGUUCCAAACACAGUUUCACCAGCAGCAGCUGUUGCAACAGCCUUCCUUUCCUUCAUUGGAUGCUGCUUCCGGAGUUGGAGUUCAACAAGAUGAUCAGGUAAUGUCAUCCUUGUAUGAAAUGUUUGCUUCUGUACAAGGAUUUGUCUAUGCAAUAUUUGUCUAAUUUAUGCUUUUGUAAGCACUCAACCAAUCUAACUAUUUAACUAAGGGACUUCUCAUUGAAGAAUAUAAUAUUCCCUCCGUCCUAUACUAUUUGUUCAUUUUUUCUUUUUUUUGGUUGUCCCACGAUUAUUGUCGCACUUUCCUUAUGACUCUAUUUAAUUUUAUCUUAUUUUCAAGAAACUUCUCAAACAUUUCUUAGUAUUUAAUAAAAUUUAAUGUUUUUAAGAUGUGUAUAGUUGGAAAUUUAAUAAAAAAAAUAUCUUUAAUAUGUGUGAAAAAGUAAAGUGGACAAAAAUUAUGGAACAGAUGGAGUAUAUUAUUAUGACUGUGGUUUCUUUGUUAAUGAGUUUAACUCAAUUCUGUGGGGAGUUUUUCUUGCUCCUGGUUUUCAUCUUUCUUCUGGAUGUUUCUGGCUUUGCAGGAACUUGUUUAGGUCUCUUCUUUGCUCUUCUCUUUUCUUUCUUUUUUUUUUUUCCCCUUUCUUGUGCAUGCUCCUAUUUAUUUUCUGUAUACCCACAUUAAUGCUUUUAUCUCAAGUCAUUUCUGCGGCGGGCUUCAGGUUGCUCAAGAGUGGAUGUGGAAGAAUAAGGCAGCAGGAACAUGAGCUGAAGAGUGGAUUCCAGAGCAGCAUAUGACAUGAUUUUGCUGCUAGCAUGCCCAGUGGCAAGGCUAAUUCAAACAAAAAUGGUAGAAAUGAUAACUAUAAUGGUUUCUGCAUCCUAUAGUUUUCUUGGUUUACUCGGGGAAUUUACCGUCCGAGUUAUUGAGUUAGCAAAUUGAGGAUAUGUGCCAUUAGUAAAUUAACAAAUCCAAGGUUAUGUAACAUUUCCUGUAGUUGUUGUAAUACCAUCUUAGUUACAAUUUAUUGCCAUAAAGAAUACCGGUAGAUGGCAUGGCAAAUUGAUACCCGGCAGUUCUUCACGUUUAAGUUGCUGUUUAUUUGGU